UCCCACUCUCUUCCUUCCUCUUCUAUUUCUUUUCCCGCUUCUCUUUCACUCUCUCUAAAACUCAUCCACCUCUCCAUCUCUCCACUUCAUUGCUCUUCAAAUGUACCCGACACCACUGAAAAGGACACCCCGAUUGAAACAAGGUAUCCAGCCUUUCCUACUGUGAUGGACAUCGAUCAGAUAAGAGAGAUAUUACCCCACAAGUUUCCAUUUUUGCUGGUGGAUAGAGUGAUAGAAUAUAAUCCAGGGGUAUCAGCUGUUGGUAUAAAGAAUGUGAGUAUAAAUGAUAACUUUUUCCCUGGACAGUUCCCUGAGAGGCCUAUAAUGCCCGGUGUUCUCAUGGUUGAGGUAAUUAAUCU